UACGGAGGAUGCGAGCGUUAUCCGGAUUUAUUGGGUUUAAAGGGUGCGUAGGCGGCGAGUUAAGUCAGCGGUAAAAGCCCGGGGCUCAACCCCGGCCCGCCGUUGAAACUGGCAGUCUCGAGUUGGAGAGAAGUAUGCGGAAUGCGCGGUGUAGCGGUGAAAUGCAUAGAUAUCGCGCAGAACUCCGAUUGCGAAGGCAGCUCACUGGACUGCAACUGACACUGAGGCUCGAAAGUGUGGGUAGCAAACAGG
rnacentral:rRNA from 1 species